CCUACGGGAGGCUGCAGUGAGGAAUAUUGGUCAAUGGACGAGAGUCUGAACCAGCCAAGUAGCGUGAAGGAUGACUGCCCUAUGUGUUGUAAACUUCUUUUAUAUGGGAAUAAAAUGUUCCACGUGUGGGCUUUUGUAUGUACCAUAUGAAUAAGGAUCGGCUAACUCCGUGCCAGCAGCCGCGGUAAUACGGAGGAUCCGAGCGUUAUCCGGAUUUAUUGGGUUUAAAGGGAGCGUAGGUGGACUGUUAAGUCAGGUGUGAAAGUUUGCGGCUCAACCGUAAAAUUGCAGUUGAAACUGGCAGUCUUGCGUACAGUAGAGGUGGGCGGAAUUCGUGGUGUAGCGGUGAAAUGCUUAGAUAUCACGAAGAACUCCGAUUGCGAAGGCAGCUCACUGGACUGCAACUGACACUGAGGCUCGAAAGUGUGGGUAUCAAACAGGAGUAGAUACUCUGGUAGUC
rnacentral:rRNA from 1 species